GGGAAAAGGAGCAAUCCGCUUUGAGAUGGCCUCGCGUCCGAUUAGCUAGUUGGUGAGGUAACGGCUCACCAAGGCGACGAUCGGUAGCCGGACUGAGAGGUUGAACGGCCACAUUGGGACUGAGACACGGCCCAGACUCCUACGGGAGGCAGCAGUGGGGAAUAUUGCACAAUGGGGGAAACCCUGAUGCAGCGACGCCGCGUGGAGGAAGAAGGUCUCCGGAUUGUAAACUCCUGUUGUUGAGGAAGAUAAUGACGGUACUCAACAAGGAAGUGACGGCUAACUACGUGCCAGCAGCCGCGGUAAAACGUAGGUCACAAGCGUUGUCCGGAAUUACUGGGUGUAAAGGGAGCGCAGGCGGGAAGACAAGUUGGAAGUGAAAUCCAUGGGCUCAACCCAUGAACUGCUUUCAAAACUGUUUUUCUUGAGUAGUGCAGAGGUAGGCGGAAUUCCCGGUGUAGCGGUGGAAUGCGUAGAUAUCGGGAGGAACACCAGUGGCGAAGGCGGCCUACUGGGCACCAACUGACGCUGAGGCUCGAAAGUGUGGGUAGCAAACAGGAUUAGAUACCCUGGUAGUCCACACCGUAAACGA
rnacentral:rRNA from 1 species